rnacentral:rRNA from 1 species
GACGAACGCUGGCGGCGUGCUUAACACAUGCGAGUCGAACGGAAAGGCCCCUUUGGGGGUACUCGAGUGGCGAACGGGUGAGUAACACGUGAGUAACCUGCCCUUGACUUCGGGAUAACUUCAGGAAACUGGGGCUAAUACCGGAUCGGAAUCCUUGCUGCAUGGUGGGGGUUGGAAAGCUUCGGCGGUUUUGGAUGGACUCGCGGCUUAUCAGCUUGUUGGUGGGGUAGUGGCUUACCAAGGCUUUGACGGGUAGCCGGCCUGAGAGGGCGACCGGCCACAUUGGGACUGAGAUACGGCCCAGACUCCUACGGGAGGCAGCAGUGGGGAAUAUUGCACAAUGGGCGGAAGCCUGAUGCAGCAACGCCGCGUGCGGGAUGACGGCCUUCGGGUUGUAAACCGCUUUCAGCAGGGGCGAAGCUUGUGGUGACGGUACCUGCAGAAGAAGCACCGGCUAACUACGUG